AUUUAAUUACAUUAGAUUAUAACACAUCUUAAAAAACGUUACCAAAUUACAUUAAAAACAAUAAACGUUUUAUUAUUAUUUUUUUUAAUGGAUAAACGUUUUAUUAAUAAGCUUGAUAUAAAAAAUAAAAAAAAAAGUAAAAAGAUACAGUAAGACUCUCUCAAUCUUUCUCUCUCCCAUUUCUCCUCAUCCCCGAUUGUCUCUUCCAUUUCUCCAAUCAUGCUCAUGGAAUUCUAGCAAUCAUUCUCGCGACUUCUCUAAACCACCUGAAAAGCUUUCGUAUCCUCAACAAAUAGGUAUGUUCUUACUCAACUGCUGAAAAAUUGUCUCAAUCCAAUUGAAAUAAAGCACUGGUGAUGCCUCGUCGGAACCAUCACCGUCACCGCCAUCAACUUCUGUCCCCCAAACUUUUCUCUGUCCAACGACAACAGUGGCUGGUGUAAUCCUCCGCUCCAGCACUUCGAUUUGGCCGAGCCUGCUUUCCUUCAAAUUGCUCGGUACCUUGCUGGAAUUGUGCCAGUUGUAUUCAGAAGGUUGAUCCUCUCACUCACCAAGUUAAACUCUGCGAUUUUGGAAGCGCAAAGAUGCUAGUCAAAGGCGAAGCCAACAUUUCAUACAUAUGCUCACUAUUCUAUCGAGCUCCAGAACUUAUAUUUUGGUGCUACUGAGUAUACUACUUCAAUUGAUAUCUGGUCAGCUGGUUGUGUUCUUGCAGAGCUUCUUUUAGGCCAGGUUUGUAUUACAGUUUAGCAUUCCAAGAUUUAGUUCUUGAUGUCCCUAUUGGACCAUUUGCCAUGAAGGUUGGUAUUGAUUUUGCAAGAGAGCCUGAUGCAUUUUUGUGGAGGCCUACUUCAGGGAUGACUUGUAUUGAAGAAAGUGUAGGAAGUGUUAUUGCUUGGCCAGCCGACAAAGUCAUAAUGAGGGAUAACUAGUAUCGAAGAUAGUGUUGGAAGUGUUACUGCUUGGCUUGCCGACAAAGUUAUAAUGAGGUGAUGAAGAUAGCGACAAGAGAAUUGGAUGCUUGCAAUUAAUAAAGAGAUAGUAUUGGACAAAUGUUACAAUUUGCCUUUUAUUAGACUUAUUAGACAUAUUAUUUCUAAGCAUAAACUUUUAUUAUGGUAUUUUGCACUUGAAUUUUUUUUUAUUUAUGACGCAUGUAUUGGAUAUUUUGGUUGAUAAAAAAAUACAUUUAGACUUUAUCAAAUUCAAAUUACAUUAUUAAAUAAUAAAUUGCUUUAUCAAAUAAAUGUAAUUAAAGAUAAUUUAAUUAUAUUUUGAAAAUAUAAUUAAAGAUAAUUAGAUUACAUCUUGAAAAUGUAAUAAAAGAUAAUUAGAUUACAUCUUUAAAAUGUAAUCAAAGAUAAUAAGAUUACAUCUUUAAAAUGUAAUCAAAGAUAAUUAGAUAACAUCUUGAAAAUGUAAUUAAAUGACAAAAUAUAAUUAACAUAAAGAAUCAUAACAUCUAGAUAAUGUUACUAUUGACAAUAUAUAACACCGAAACAAUGUUAUAAUAGUCUAUUUAAUAACAUGAAAAAAUGUAAUCAAAUAAUGGCAAGACUUUUAAUAACAUGGGCAGACUUAACACUUGCUAAAGUGUUAUAAAUUGCAUUUGAUAACACUUUUUGAGAGUUAUCGUAAAUGUUUUUUCUUGUAGUGAAAUUUAUAUAUAAAUCUUCUUUUAAAGACUAUUAUAUAUGCUUAGUAUUAUAUUUUAUUAAUUACUCUUUAGAGUUUUUAGACUUUUCUAGUGUGAUAGAGUUCGGGCAGACACUUAGUUCGCCAGAAGUAAUUUGGUGGUGCACCGUGUUACUUGUUCUCUGUUGUAUCAUGGGAGAUAGACGUCGAAAAUCCUUCGGCACCAAUGGAAGGUGACGAAUCUAUUUAAAGGAAACUAUGUGCUACACGGGCCUCAAAUAUCCUUUUGUUGAGAAUACACCAAUAGUUAAUUUCCUCAAGUCUUUAUAUUUGCUAUUAUUAUUAUUUAUUAUAAUUGCUAGUUAGAUUAAUUAUAACUAUUAGUUAUAUUAUAAUUAUAAAUUAUUUUAUUUAUAGUUAUAAUAAUAUUGUUAAUUAUAAUUGUUAAGCUAGAUUAAUUAUAAUUUUUAGUUAGAUUAUAAUCAUAAAUUGUUUAUUUAUAGUUAUAAUAUUAUUGUGUAUCUUUAUUUGAUAGAUAGAUUGUUUAUUACCAUGCUAUAUUAUUCAAAUGUUAUAUUAUAAAUAUUUAGAACUACAAUCUUAAAACAUAUUCUUUUUCUUUAAUAUAAUAUUUGAAUGUUUAAUAUAUCUAUGAUUUAUGAAAUAAUGUUAUUGCUUAUAUGUUAAAUCGCUCUUUGUGAUUUGGAUAUAUUAUGUGCAUGCACUGUGUCUGCUAGAAGUUCGUUUGAACUUAAACAAAAUCUCACUAGAGAAGUUCUGUCGAGGAAGUUGGGUUUUAAGUGGGACCAUUGUGACCCCUCCAGACUAUCCUGGGAAUUGAAUAUUUUCAAAAGAAUUGCUGCGGCAGGGGCACGACCCUCCUAGCCUUCUUUGUAAAUUAUCUAGCAAAGGCAAUAUGACAACUGAAACAAACCAAAGUGGUGGGAACGAUGACAUGUCAGCUGAGACUCCAAUUCUGGUUGUUUAAGCUCAUACCCAAACAAUUUCAGCCUUGGUUAAUAUGAGUCAUCCUUUGAGCUUUGGGGAAAGACCUGAUAAUUUCAAUGGACAAAAUUUCAAAAGGUGGCAACAAAAUAUAUUCUAUCUGUCUACCAUGAAUUUUGUGAGAUUCGUGACUGAUAACGAAUAAAUGUUGAAAGAAGAUGAGGAUGAUAUCCAAAUAAUUAAUGUUGUUAAUGAUUGGAUCAAAUCUAAUUUUCUCUGUCGUAACUAUGUUAUGAAUGGUCUUGAAAAUUCUUUGUAAGAAAUUUAUGCUACAAAGAAGAUAAUUAAAGAACUGUGGGAGUCUUUAGACCAGAAAUAUAGAAUUGAGGAUGUUGCACAAAGAAAUUUGUGGUUGGGCGGUUCCUUGACUAUAAAAUGGUAGAUUCCAAGACCGUGAUCAGUCAAGCUCAGGAAUUCCAAUUAAUCUUACAUGGGAUUUACUCUGAGGGAAUGAUCCUGAUUGAGACCUUUCAAGUAGCUGCUUUGAUUGAAAAGCUACCCCUUGCAUGGAAGUUGUUCAAGAGAUACCUUAAGCAUAAGUGGAAGAAGAUGAUCAUUGAGGAAUUAAUUGUUAGACUUUGUAUCAAAGAAGAUGAGGCCAAUCUGAUGGAGCAAGGUUGAAACUCAUCAAUGGGAAAUGUUAUAAUCUAACAACCUCAAUUUGUAUAUUACUAAAACCAACAAUUCACAUAAACCAGAAAUUA